rnacentral:rRNA from 1 species
GGANCUUAAGGUUGGUUUCUUAGGUCUCAACAAUCGGCCGUCGUUAAGUACAGCCUAACACAUGCAAGUCGAACGGCAGCACAGGAGAGCUUGCUCUCUGGGUGGCGAGUGGCGGACGGGUGAGGAAUACAUCGGAAUCUACUCUGUCGUGGGGGAUAACGUAGGGAAACUUACGCUAAUACCGCAUACGACCUACGGGUGAAAGCAGGGGAUCUUCGGACCUUGCGCGAUUGAAUGAGCCGAUGUCGGAUUAGCUAGUUGGCGGGGUAAAGGCCCACCAAGGCGACGAUCCGUAGCUGGUCUGAGAGGAUGAUCAGCCACACUGGAACUGAGACACGGUCCAGACUCCUACGGGAGGCAGCAGUGGGGGAAUAUUGGACAAUUGGGCGCAAGCCUGAUCCAGCCAUACCGCGUGGGUGAAGAAGGCCUUCGGGUUUGUAAAGCCCUUUUGUUGGGAAAGACAUCCAGCCGGGCUAAUACCUGGUUUGGGGAUGACGGGUACCCAAAGAAUUAGCACACCGAGGGCUUAAAACCUACGUUGGCCAACAAGACCNCGGCAGGUAAUUACACGAAAGGGGUGCACAAGGCGGUUAAACUCCGGAAAUUUAACCGGGGNCCGCUUA